UACGGAGGGUGCAAGCGUUAUCCGGAUUUAUUAGGUUUAAAGGGUGUGUAGGCGGGAUAAUAAGUCAGUGGUGAAAUCCUACAGCUUAACUGUAGAACUGCCAUUGAAACUGUUAUUCUUGAGUAUAGUUGAGGUUUGCGGAAUGUGUUGUGUAGCGGUGAAAUGCUUAGAGAUGACACAGAACACCGAUUGCGAAGGCAGCAGACUAAACUAUAACUGACGCUGAUGCACGAAAGCGUGGGGAUCGAACAGG
rnacentral:rRNA from 1 species